AGCGUCCCCGGCAAAGCCGAUCAAGGGCAUGGAGACCCUCUUAAGUCGGUCGGUUGACAGUUGCAUCCGGGAGAAGGUCGAGUAAAAUAAAAUAUUUGUCGAACUUCCAUUAUCAACAAAAAUUCUUUUUACAUCAUAGUUUGCUAUUGUUGCCGAAACAACAACAGCAUCGUCGUGGGGAGUUUGGAUGCCCCGAACGUCUUCC
rnacentral:lncRNA from 1 species